rnacentral:rRNA from 1 species
UAAGGAAUAUUGGUCAAUGGACGCAAGUCUGAACCAGCCAUGCCGCGUGCAGGAUGACGGCCCUAUGGGUUGUAAACUGCUUUUGUACGGGAAGAACUACAUUUACGAGUAAAUGUUUGACGGUACCGUAAGAAUAAGGAUCGGCUAACUCCGUGCCAGCAGCCGCGGUAAUACGGAGGGUCCGAGCGUUAUCCGGAUUUAUUGGGUUGAAAGGGUGCGCAGGCGGGUAUAUAAGUCAGAGGUGAAAUUCCAGGGCUCAACCUUGGGACUGCCUUUGAUACUGUAUGUCUAGAGUAUAGUUGGGGUGUGCGGAAUGUAGCAUGUAGCGGUGAAAUGCUUAGAUAUGCUACAGAACACCGAUCGUGAAGACAGCUCACUAAGCUAUAACUGACGCUCAGGCACGAAAGCAUGGGGAGCAAACA